UACAGAGGUCUCAAGCGUUGUUCGGAUUCAUUGGGCGUAAAGGGUGCGUAGGCGGCGAGGUAAGUCAGAUGUGAAAUCCCGGGGCUUAACCCCGGAACUGCAUUUGAUACUGCUUUGCUUGAGGACUGGAGAGGAGAUCGGAAUUCACGGUGUAGCAGUGAAAUGCGUAGAUAUCGUGAGGAAGGCCAGUGGCGAAGGCGGAUCUCUGGACAGUUCCUGACGCUGAGGCACGGAGGCCAGGGGAGCAAACGGG
rnacentral:rRNA from 1 species